rnacentral:rRNA from 1 species
UACGUAGGGUGCAAGCGUCGUCCGGAAUUAUUGGGCGUAAAGAGCUCGUAGGCGGUUUGUCACGUCGGCUGUGAAAACCUGGGGCUCAACCCCGGGCCUGCAGCCGAUACGGGCAAGCUAGAAUUCGGUAGGGGAGACUGGAAUUCCUGGUGUAGCGGUGAAAUGCGCAGAUAUCAGGAGGAACACCGGUGGCGAAGGCGGGUCUCUGGGCCGAUAUUGACGCUGAGGAGCGAAAGCGUGGGGAGCGAACAGG